CGAAUGAAGCGGCAAGAGCCCAAAUUUGAAAUCGGGCAACCGAGUUGUAAUUUGGAGACGGGACACUAGAGAGGAGGAAGGCGAUUAAGUGCCUUGGAACAGGCUGCCGUAGAGGGUGAGAGCCCCGUGAAUCGCUGGAGACCGAUCGAUUAGUGCCCGCCGAAGAGUCGAGUUGUUUGGGAAUGCAGCUCUAAGCGGGUGGUAUAUUCCAUCUAAGGCUAAAUAUUAGCGAGAGACCGAUAGCAAACAAGUACAGUGAUGGAAAGAUGAAAAGAACUUUGGAAAGAGAGUGAAAUAGUACGUGAAAUUGUUGAAAGGGAAGGGUAUUUGAUCCGACAUGGUGUUUAGCAGCGGCCCGUUCCUCGUGGAUGGGUGCACCUGGUUUACACUGGGCCAGCAUCGGUUCUGGGAGCCAUAUACGGGGUUCGUGAAUGUGGCCCUUCGAUUCUGUCGGAGGGUGUUAUAGCGCGGGCAUCUUGUGGCUAGCCG
rnacentral:rRNA from 1 species